rnacentral:rRNA from 1 species
AAUGCGUAGAGAUCUGGAGGAAUACCGGUGGCGAAGGCGGCCCCCUGGACAAAGACUGACGCUCAGGUGCGAAAGCGUGGGGAGCAAACAGGAUUAGAUACCCUGGUAGUCCACGCCGUAAACGAUGUCGACUUGGAGGUUGUGCCCUUGAGGCGUGGCUUCCGGAGCUAACGCGUUAAGUCGACCGCCUGGGGAGUACGGCCGCAAGGUUAAAACUCAAAUGAAUUGACGGGGGCCCGCACAAGCGGUGGAGCAUGUGGUUUAAUUCGAUGCAACGCGAAGAACCUUACCUA